AAAAAAAACCAUUUUCACGUUGAAAACAGAAGGGGAGAGAGAGAGAGAGAGCGCCUUAGCCUUGCCACCACCAAACUUCCGUCACCGGCGCCAAUUCUGGCCAAAUCUGGUGAUAAUUUUUACACCAGUCUCUUCCUCUCUUCAUGAGCUUUCUAUUGAUAUAUGUUUCAAGACCUAUCGUAAAGUGUGCGCGAUGAAUCGAAGGAGAGAAGAUUGAGUGAUUUUCCGGCUAUUUUUCAAAUUCCGACCAAACCGUCGACAUUUUGGAGAAACCCCAAGGUAAUCCAGUUGAGCAAAGCUUCCGAGGACAUUCCCGAGACGAGACUCUCCUAGUCACCCUUCAUUGUAGUAGAUUUUGCUGAGGUCGGACUGCACCACGUUGAGGCAUUCUCCUUAUCCACCAUCAUUCAUCUCAACUUGUAGGAUUUGUUCCCUUUCAUACUUUUAUAUUUCUUACUUAAUUAGACCAUGUAACUUAUGCUCUGAUGUAACCAUAAAUUGAGUAUUGGAUCCCUAAGUUGUAGUUGUUGGGUUAGAACCCUCGUAUUUGGUUGGUGGUGGAUGCUUUUGUGAAGGACAAGAGGUCCUAAUUGAAAGUUAUUGGAGAUUUAUGAUUU